GCCCGAAAUGGGUAAACGACGAGAAUUAAAGCAAAGCCUGAAGAGCUGCACUCACACCUGCGCGCCGACACACCUAAACGCUUCAGUUUACGCUCUCGGAGGAGAAGGUGUUGAGGUGAACGGUGUAAAGCUGUCUGGAGGUUGUAAGUGUUAAGUAUUAGGUGUGUACAUCUCCAUUUUUCGACACGAGACGCGCGUUUGGACCGCUGCAGCGUUUCUCUCAGAUGUUGCAUAAUACCUGUUUACCUGGACGUAAGACCUGCAGUGCACAUUGCUAGGAAUCGUGGCUGAGAUGAAUAGCAGGAUUUCAGUCAUUGUUUCUAGUAGUGCGCGCUGCAGAUAAUCAGCUUUCCCAAACUCAAAUGCACAAACCUGAGAAGAGGAAAAAAGUUGUAAACUGGAUUUAUAUAUUCAUGAAAUACUCAUGUAUGCCGCUGGAUGGCAGCAGAGCUGAAGGAAAGAGUUUCUGUCACCUGUGAAGCUCUGUGGUGUUUCAACAUGCAAUCUAAGCAGGAACAUCUUCGGCAUGUCGGUGAACCUGCCCUCGACUGGCUAUUGUUUUCAUUAACAGACAGGACAUUUCCUCAUUCAUUAGUGAUUGAGCCCUUUAUGAAGAUGAAAACCACACCACAAAUUUUGCAUCUGACUAUUUAAAGUGAUUCAUUUUACAUCUUGCUUUCAGUUUCUGUUGUCUAGGGUUGGGUUGCUGUGUGGGAUUGUUGACAGCGACAAAUAAAGAAAAUGACAAAGAAUGCACCUGUGUGAAUGAAAGCUGUACCUUUAUAAUGGUUUUGAGUGAUUGAUUGAAGAAUAAAGUAAUUAAAGUAUA